AAUUCCCUGGGGUGGCAUCAAGUUGUUUGUACCCUGAGCCGAUAUCCUUAGACAUUGGUUUCUUCCUGAUAGUGGUGUGCAGGCCCGGAUUGCCCGCGGAAGCCUAAAUUAUCAUCUGAGACCAAACUUGAACACACUGGUUCAAGGAGUCAAUAACAGCGGAUCCAUUUUCGGGGAUAUA
rnacentral:other from 1 species